UAGAGUUUGAUCCUGGCUCAGAACGAACGCUGGCGGCGUGCCUAACACAUGCAAGUCGAACGGAGUGAAGGAGCUUGCUCUUUCAUUUAGUGGCGCACGGGUGAGUAACGCGUAGAUAAUCUGCCUUGGACUCUGGGAUAACAUCUCGAAAGGGGUGCUAAUACCGGAUAAGCCCACGAUGGCGUAAGUCAUUGCGGGAAAAGGGGGCCUCUGAAUAUGCUCCUGAUUCAAGAUGAGUCUGCGUACCAUUAGCUAGUUGGUAGGGUAAGAGCCUACCAAGGCGACGAUGGUUAGCUGGUCUGAGAGGAUGAUCAGCCACACUGGAACUGAGACACGGUCCAGACUCCUACGGGAGGCAGCAGUGGGGAAUUUUGCGCAAUGGGGGAAACCCUGACGCAGCAACGCCGCGUGAGUGAUGAAGGCUUUCGGGUCGUAAAGCUCUGUCUAGAGGGAAGAAAUGAUAGUCGGUUAAUACCCGGUUUUCUUGACGGUACCUCUGAAGGAAGCACCGGCUAACUCCGUGCCAGCAGCCGCGGUAA
rnacentral:rRNA from 2 species